rnacentral:tRNA from 1 species
UGAUGAGGCUGUGGCUCAGUGGUAGACUGUCUGCUUUGCAUGUGGAAGGUGUCAGAUUCAGUCCCUGACAUAUCAA